UGGGGAAUAUUGCACAAUGGGCGCAAGCCUGAUGCAGCGACGCCGCGUGCGGGAUGGAGGCCUUCGGUUGUAAACCGCUUUUGUUCAAGGGCAAGGCACGGCUUCGGGCCGUGUUGAGUGGAUUGUUUC
rnacentral:rRNA from 1 species